AUAUAUAUAUAUAUAUAUAUAUAUAUAUAUAUAUAUAUUUUAUAGAUAUAUACAAUUAUGGAGAAGUUUUUAAAACGGAAAAAAUAGGAACAUCGUGCCGACCCCCCACAAAAGAGUACAUUUUUGCGUCGGCACAAUCCCGAUUAUAUAAAAUACGGCUUCGUAAACGGAGGUACCGAGGCAGUGCCGAGUGUCCAGUGUGUGGAGUGUGGGCUAACGCUGUCAAAUGAGGCACUAAAGCCCUCAAAACUACAGCGGCAUCUACAGACCAAGCACCCGACGCUCGUGGGAAAGCCGGUGGAAUUUCUCAAAAGAAAAGAAAAUGGGCUGCAGAUGCAGAAAAGGUCGGUCAUGUCACUGACUGGCAGCUCCAAAUUUGCACUGAAAGCCUCUACCUCGUAGCCAGACGUGUGGCACAGAGCAAGAAGGCGUUUACCAUAGCGGAGGAGUUGGUUCUGCCUGCCGCUGUUGAUAUGUGCCGUGAGAUGAUCGGAGAGGCCGCUGCAAAGAAGCUGCUGCCCAUCCCACUGUCAAACGACACUGUGAGUCACCGCAAUGUCAGUUUCGGUAAUUUUGACUAGUCCUCAAGCGUUUGUUUGAACUGAGGAAUGUGGUCUUCUCUUUUCUCACUGAGGAAAACAAUCAUCUUGCACAGUACUAUGCCAACACAAUGUUCACAGCAAAAGUUGCCUACCUCUGUGACAUUUUUUCACUGCUGAACCAACUGAACAUCUCACUUCAAGGAAGAAACAGCAACAUAUUUUUUGUUGCAGACAAAGUUCAAGCUUUCAAGAGGAAACUUGCUUUGUGGACCAAGAGGGCCCAGGAAAAGAGGAUGGACAUGUUUCCACUUUUGUCUGACAUUUUGGAAAACUCCCCUCAGCUUCUGGAAGUUUCCACUGACAGCACUUUAAAGUUGCAGUGGGGCAAACUGGACCUGGGCUCCUUCUGGAUUGCUGUCUCAAAGGAGUACCCAUGUCUUGCACUGAGGGCCGUGAAAGUCCUUCUCCCAUUCACGACUACAUACCUGUGUGAUUCAGGAUUCUCCAUUGUGGCCACAACCAAGACCAAAGCCGGAAACAGACUCAGAGCAAUGCUGGAGGCUACUCUGAGAGUGAGCCUUUCCCCCAUUCCACCCAGACUGGAUCUGAUUAUGUCUCAGAGGCAGGCCCAAAUGUCUCAUUAAGAGGUGAAGAUAAAAAAGGGAGUUGUAUUACUGUUGUUCAUUGAAAAAUGUCUUGUCCCGUCUUGAUAUGUGCCAGGAAUUAUCAGCCUGUUCAGUGGCUUGAUGUGUGUGCAGGUUUACAUACACAUGUCCAAUAAAAGUCUUUGUGAUGAUCCCA